rnacentral:rRNA from 1 species
AUUGAACGCUGGCGGCAGGCCUAACACAUGCAAGUCGAGCGGAUGAAGGGAGCUUGCUCCUGGAUUCAGCGGCGGACGGGUGAGUAAUGCCUAGGAAUCUGCCUGGUAGUGGGGGAUAACGUCCGGAAACGGGCGCUAAUACCGCAUACGUCCUGCGGGAGCAAGUGGGGGAUGUUCGGACCUCACGCUAUCAGAUGAGCCUAGGUCGGCUUAGCUAGUUGGUGGGGUAAGGGCCUACCAAGGCGACGAUCCGUAACUGGUCUGAGAGGAUGAUCAGUCACACUGGAACUGAGACACGGUCCAGACUCCUGCGGGAGGCAGCAGUGGGGAAUAUUGGACAAUGGGCGAAAGCCUGAUCCAGCCAUGCCGCGUGUGUGAAGAAGGUCUUCGGAUUGUAAAGCACUUUAAGUUGGGAGGAAGGGCAGUAAGUUAAUACCUUGCUGUUUUGACGUUACCAACAGAAUAAGCACCGGCUAACUUCGUG